rnacentral:RNase_P_RNA from 1 species
AAAGUAGACCGCCUUAUCGCUGCGCUUUAUGCGCGGAGGAAAGUCCGGACACCGUAGAGCAGCAUAGUGGGUAACGCCCACCAGUCGGAAGAUUAGGACAAGUGCAACAGAAAGUAUGUACAGGUAAUGCUGUAGUGAAAACAGGUAAACUCUAUGCGGUGCAAUGCCAUGUAUACCGGUAUUUAAGAACUGCUCGUUCGCGCCGGAGGGUAGGCAGCUAGAGAUUUUUGGUAACAGAAAUAUAAGAUAAAUGAUAAGGUCUUUUUGAAAGUGGAAGGGGUUACCUUUUCAACUCAAAGAGAACAGAAUCCGGCUUAUAGGUCUGCUUUUUAU